UACACGGAGAGUUUGAUCCUGGCUCAGAAUGAACGCUGGCGGCGUGCUUAACACAUGCAAGUCGAACGGACUAGAUUUCAUUCGUGGUUUCUAGUUAGUGGCGCACGGGUGAGUAACGCGUGGGUAACCUACCCUCUAGUUUGGAAUAACCCUUCGAAAGGAGUGCUAAUACCAAAUAAGACCACGAUGACUACGGUCGACGCGGUCAAAGGUGGCGAAUCGCAAGAUGCUAUCGCUAGGGGACGGGCCCGCGUGACAUUAGAUUGAUGGUGAGGUAAUGGCUCACCAUGUCUACGAUGUCUAGCUGGUCUGAGAGGAUGAUCAGCCACACUGGGACUGGUACACGGCCCAGACUCCUACGGGAGGCAGCAGUGAGGAAUUAUUCACAAUUAGGGAAACCUAGAUGGUGCAACGCCGCGUGGGUGAAGAAGGCAGUUUUGUUGUAAAGCCCUGUCGUAAG
rnacentral:rRNA from 1 species